rnacentral:rRNA from 1 species
AGUGAACGCUGGCGGUAGGCCUAACACAUGCAAGUCGAACGGCAGCACAGUAAGAGCUUGCUCUUACGGGUGGCGAGUGGCGGACGGGUGAGGAAUACAUCGGAAUCUACUUUUUCGCGGGGGAUAACGUAGGGAAACUUACGCUAAUACCGCAUACGACCUACGGGUGAAAGCAGGGGAUCUUCGGACCUUGCGCGAUUGAAUGAGCCGAUGUCGGAUUAGCUAGUUGGCGGGGUAAAGGCCCACCAAGGCGACGAUCCGUAGCUGGUCUGAGAGGAUGAUCAGCCACACUGGAACGGAGACACGGUCCAGACUCCUACGGGAGGCAGCAGUGGGGAAUAUUGGACAAUGGGCGCAAGCCUGAUCCAGCCAUACCGCGUGGGUGAAGAAGGCCUUCGGGUUGUAAAGCCCUUUUGUUGGGAAAGAAAAGCAGCAGGUUAAUACCCCGCUGUUCUGACGGUACCCAAAGAAUAAGCACCGGCUAACUUCGUG